AUCGCUUCUUGGCCUUUUGGCUAAGAUCAAGUGUAGUAUCUGUUCUUACUAGUUUAAUAAAAACUUAGUUCAAAUGGACCAGGAAAAACCAGUU
rnacentral:snRNA from 1 species